GACGUAGGUGGCGAACGUUAUCCGGAAUUAUUGGGCGUAAAGCGCUUGUAGGCGGCACGUCAAGUCGCGUGUGAAAUCCCCAGGCUUAACCUGGGAAGUGCGCGCGAAACUGACGAGCUUGAGUGCCGGAGAGGGUCGCGGAAUUCCCGGUGUAGAGGUGAAAUUCGUAGAUAUCGGGAGGAACACCAGUGGCGAAGGCGGCGACCUGGACGGACACUGACGCUGAGACGCGAAAGCGUGGGGAGCAAACAGG
rnacentral:rRNA from 1 species